UAAGCUAGUGAACUGAACCAUCUAAGUAACUAGAAAAAAAAUCAACCGAGAAACCGUGAGUAGUGGCGAGCAAAAACGGCAUAGAUUAAUCUUAAAAGUUAAGUAUAAUAUGUUUAAGACUAGAUCACCAAAGAAGGUAACAUAAACUAAAGAAUAUGCAGUCCUGUAAAGCAAAUUUUAAACUUUAAGGUAAAAAGUAAGAUGACACAUGUCAUGUGUUAUUUCAAUAUUGGGGUACCACCCUCAAAGUCUAAAAAGUAUUAAUGAUUGAUAGUGAACAAGUACCGUAAGGGAAAGGUGAAAAAGAACUUUUGAAUCUGAAAAGAACUUGAAAUUUAAUGUUUAUAAUCAGUUGUAGCUUAUUAUAAAAGUGACAGCGUUCCUUUUGCAUAAUGAAUCAAUGAGUUUAUAUCAAUGGCAAGCUUAAACAGUUAAAAGUGUAGGCUAAAAAAAAUUAAGUUUUAAAU
rnacentral:rRNA from 12 species